AUUAUGGCUCAGGAUGAACGCUGGCGGCGUGCUUAACACAUGCAAGUCGAACGAUUAAGACCCCUUCGGGGGUGUAUAGAGUGGCGAACGGGUGAGUAACACGUGGGCAACCUGCCCCUCACUUCGGGAUAACUCAGGGAAACCUGUGCUAAUACCGGAUACUCCGGGAUGGUCGCAUGGCCGGCCCGGGAAAGCUCCGACGGUGAGGGAUGGGCCCGCGGCCCAUUAGCUUGUUGGUGAGGUAACGGCUCACCAAGGCGACGAUGGGUAGCCGAGCUGAGAGGCUGAUCGGCCACACUGGGACUGAGACACGGCCCAGACUCCUACGGGAGGCAGCAGUGGGGAAUCUUGCGCAAUGGGCGAAAGCCUGACGCAGCAACGCCGCGUGCGGGAUGAAGGCCUUCGGGUUGUAAACCGCUUUCAGCAGGGACGAAACUGACUGUACCUGCAGAAGAAGCCCCGGCUAACUACGUGCCAGCAGCCGCGGUAAUACGUAGGGGGCAAGCGUUAUCCGGAUUCAUUGGGCGUAAAGCGCGCGUAGGCGGCUUGUUAAGCGAGAUGUGAAAACCGGGGGCUCAACCCGCGGCCUGCAUCUCGAACUGGCAGGCUUGAGUCUGGUAGAGGAAAGUGGAAUUCCCAGUGUAGCGGUGAAAUGCGCAGAUAUUGGGAGGAACACCAGUGGCGAAGGCGGCUUUCUGGGCCACGACUGACGCUGAGGCGCGAAAGCUAGGGGAGCGAACAGGAUUAGAUACCCUGGUAGUCCUAGCCGUAAACGAUGGGCACUAGGUGUGGGGGGUUAUCAACUCCCUCCGUGCCGCAGCUAACGCAUUAAGUGCCCCGCCUGGGGA
rnacentral:rRNA from 1 species